AAGCAGUGCAGUGCUAUGAAGGUCCUUACUUGUGGCAUUGCCCUGCAACUUACCAUGUCUAGUUCAAAAGAACUAGAGACACUCGAGCUAUGGAAUGCAGUAGCCAGGCUCUGUGGGCCCCAAGGGUAGCUUGAUUGAUAAGGGAGAACUGUAUUUGUAGAGGUAAUAGUUGCUUAUUAUUUCUUUUUCCUUUUCUUUUUUUCUUUUGGAAUUAUGUGGGUGGGGUACUAACUCUAUUUAUACAACCAUUAACAGAUGUCAGUCAUGGUGUUUAAAAUCACUGGUGUUAAUGGGGAAAUUGACAUCCGAGGGGAAGAUACAGAAGUCUGUCUUCAGGUGAACCAGGUGACGCCAAGUCAGUUAGGCAACGUCAGUCUGCGGCAUUACCUCGGUAACCGUCCAAUUGGUUCUGACCAGAAAGCUAUAAUUCAUCCCAAAUCCUCUCCUGAGAUUUCUCUGAGGUUUGAAAGUGGGCCAGGUGCUGUCGUACAUUCUCUGCUUGCAGAAAAAAAUGGAUUCCUCCAAUGCCACAUAGAGAACUUUACUACAGAGUUCCUCACCUCUUCCCUUGUGAACAUUCAGCACUUCCUGGAAGAUGACACUGUUGCGACAGCAAUGCCAAUGAAGAUACAAGUGUCCAACACACAGAUAAACUUGAAAGUACGUCCACAGUCAGCCUCUUACUUCACAGACGCUCACACCGCCUUUUCUGGACUUGGGUUUGUGUGUGAAAUCAUGCUGUCUCUGUCAGAGUUUGUGAAGUGGAGUGACCGGUAUUUAUAGUGAAGGCUGCAGAGACCCCUUGUAGAGAGGGAAAUAGUGCAGGCAGUUUACGUUUAUAUUAAUCUAAUGUAACAUGAUUGUUUAUUCAGGUUGACCGUUUGAACAUUUUCAUUUAUUUCCAUAAGAACUUGCCAAUAUUUUCUCCUUAUCUGUAGGAUGACAGUCCCCGGGGUAGCACAGUGUCCCUCCAGCCAAGUCCCGUAACUGUGCACAUCGAUCAUCUCGUGGUGGAGAGGAAUGACGAUGGUUCUUUCCACAUCAGAGAUUCUCAGCUGUUUAACACCGGGACUGAUUUCAAAGACAGUGCCAGCAGCAAUUCAGAGGUGCGGACCAGGGGGACGUGCGACGUGAGGAAGCAAAGCAGUGUCACCCAAGCCACCCAGACGAGCCCAGAGGUUCCUUUGCCUUCACGGUCAGCUACCUUUCCUGAGGGCCCGGUUGACCUUACACGGGAGCAGGUACUGGGAACUUAGGUUUAAUUCUUGCAUUUGACAACUACCAAAACACCAGCAGUUAAAACACCAUCCUUAGUUUUUUUUGUAUCCUCAUGCAGUGGAUCAGAGAGGACAAAAUACCUGAAUUAAGUCUUAGAAAGUUUUGACCGUCUGAAAGAAAAUGCCUUAUUGGAGUGUUGACAGCAUGAGUCUGAAGGUCAGGAGAGAGUUGCUCCGGGCCAGGCUGUGUCUUGUCUGUGAGCUAGUUGAAUUGUAGCUCUAGUAAAGCUCACCUAAGAGCAUGACUCAGGUAAAAGAGAAAGUGGGCAACCGUGAAAUCUAAUAGAAAAAAGAAGGGAUCCCAGGAAGGGGUGGAGGAGGAGCAGGUGGGAAAGUGGCAAGUUGAAAGAACUGGUACAGGACGGAAAGGUGGAGAUGUGACAGAGAAGGGAGGUCACGUGUCUGAAGACACAGAAGCCCACGGGUACUACAGUGACACAGCAUCACUGUUAAAUUUGGAAUUGAGAAGUUAAUUAGUAUUUUGAAUUACUGGGUCAAGACUUAGGAACACAGUUAAUUGCAUAGUAAGUGCUUUCCAAUAGCUCCUGGCAGCAGUUUUCAGCUCACGUGGACCCUGACCAGCAUUGGGUGGUUUACCAUCUCAAGUGAUGCCACAUAAAAUAGUUACAUUUCCAGAAAGCGAUUAAAACCUCUCGUUUUCCAAAUGUCUUUUCAGCUCAUGGAGGAAAACGAGUGUCUUAGGCAAGAGCUGGCUCAGGCUAGGAUGGCACUGGCGGAGGCUCACUCGGCCAGAGAUGAGCUUCUCCACCAGAUGAAGAGGCUGGCCCAUCUGCAGCGGCCGUGAGAGCGUGGGCUGUAGCUCUGGAGAAGGAGGGCGUGUUUCAGAUGCGGAUGUAACCAGUUGGUGGGAGGCUUUCCUUUACAUGAAAUAAAGCGUGUGGUGAAGUGUGGCUGUUCCAGACCCUGUGGAGGAAACCUUGGCUGCAAGUGGCACAGUCAGCUGGGUGGCCCCGUGAAGGCUGUGCACACUGUAACACAGUUCCAUGCCCAGUGAAAAACGCCCGUUCCUAACUUCAGUGUCUCGUCCCAAGCAUUUUUAAAAGAAAAACGAAGACCUGUUGUGCUCAUGCAGACUGCUGAAUUUAUUUCUCUUUGUUAAUAAUUUACUGUUAUUUUCACAUAAAAAACCCCAGAUGCUUUUAGGGCUCAUGUAAAAGAAAAGUAGGAUUACAUUUUAAAUGUUAUUAAAAUUAUGUACUUAAUCUAUAAUUAUUUAAUUGUUGUAAAAAGUCCAAUCAGAUUAAUAAAUUAUAUAAUUACCGAGUUUACAAAUGGAAAACUAUUGACCCUACUGAGCUUAUGAAGUAAUUUGAAAAUGUGAAAGGGAAGGCACCUUCCGUGAUGGGGGAGGCUUCAGUAAGGCACACAUGUAAUCGAAGCACAAGUGGAAGGGCAUAUGGGUAAGUGACUUAAAGGAUCACCUGUACAUUCCAUCAAAUGUGUGUCACUAGAAGUAAAGAGGCAGUUUAUCUUGCUGUGUUUGGCAGUAUUUGUAACUAUAAAAAUUUUAAUUAAUACUAUUUUAAUAAUUCUUUAUCUUUCCUCUUUAAGGAGAAUGUUUUCUGAGAAUUUGUUUUUCACACACAUAAAAGUUUCAUACCAUUCCUGUAGCAUCAUAUUACACACGUUUGCUCAUAUGAAUAUAUAAAGCCAAUUUUGAUUAGA